UAGCAAGCUUGGUGUACAAAAUUUAAUGUGAACAAUGGCUUAUGGAUGAUUCUGCCUAAUAUAUGACAUCAAAGGUACAUCAGCUUUAGGACUUUAUUUAUAUGGAUAUUUGUGGUGUGACCAAUACUAGAAGAUAAAUGCCAUCCCCUGCCACCAGAGACAGCAGAUUUAGGCAUAGUUUCCCUUUAGCUACCCUCUCCCACUAUUCUAUGUCAUUGAUUAAAAUUACAUAACUUAAUAUGAUUAAAAUUACAUAACUUAA